rnacentral:rRNA from 1 species
AAUCAACGCUGGCGGCGUGCCUCAGACAUGCAAGUCGAACGAUUAAGACUCCCUUCGGGGAGUGCAUAAAGUGGCGCACGGGUGAGUAACACGUAAGUAAUCUACCUUCGAGUGGGGAAUAACCCGGGGAAACCCGAGCUAAUACCGCAUAAUGCAGCGGCAUCGAAAGAUGACAGUUGUUAAAGGAGCAAUCCGCUUGAAGAGGAGCUUGCGGCAGAUUAGCUAGUUGGUAAGGUAAUGGCUUACCAAGGCUACGAUCUGUAUCCGGUCUAAGAGGACGGUCGGACACACUGACACUGAAUAACGGGUCAGACUCCUACGGGAGGCAGCAGUCGGGAAUUUUGGGCAAUGGGGGAAACCCUGACCCAGCAACGCCGCGUGAAGGAUGAAGUAUUUCGGUAUGUAAACUUCGAAAGAAUGGAAGAAUAAAUGACGGUACCAUUUAUAAGCUCCGGCUAACUACGUGCCAGCCGCCGCAGUAAAAC